rnacentral:rRNA from 1 species
UCGCCCUCGCGCGCCAUGUCCGAGGAGGACGAGGACCAGGCGGGGGCGCCGCCCAAGCGGCCGCGCGCGGCGUCGCCGCCUCCGCCGCCGCCGCCGCCCGACCAGGUGCUCGACAACGUGCUCGAGACGGUGCUCCAGUUCCUCAGGGCCCCGGGCGACCGUGGCGCGGCCUCCCUCGUCUGCCGCUCCUGGCACCGCGCCGAGUCCGCCACCCGCGCCUCCCUCGCCGUCCGCAACAUCCUCGCCGCCUCCCCGGCCCGCGCUGCGCGCCGCUUCCCCAACGCGCACCACAUCCUCCUCAAGGGCCGCCCCCGCUUCGCCGACUUCAACCUGCUGCCCCCCGGCUGGGCCGCCUCCGCCUUCCGCCCCUGGGUCGCCGCCCUCGCCGCCGCCGCCUUCCCCGCGCUCCGCUCCCUCUCCCUCAAGCGCAUCACCGUCACCGACGACGACCUCGACCUCCUCGCCCGCUCCCUCCCGCCCUCCUUCCGCGAGCUCUCCCUCCUCCUCUGCGACGGCUUCUCCUCCCGCGGCCUCGCCUCCCUCGCCUCCCAUUGCAGAGGGCUGCGUGUGCUCGACGUGGUGGACUGCGAGCUCAACGAGGAGGAGGACGACGAGGUGUCGGACUGGGUGGCGGCGUUCCCGCGGGGGCACACCGACCUGGAGUCCCUCUCCUUCGAGUGCUUCACCCCGCAGGUACCGUUCGCCGCGCUCGAGGCUCUCGUGGCGCGCUCGCCGCGCCUCCGUCGCCUGCGCGUCAACCAGCACGUCUCGCUCGGUCAGCUGCGCCGGCUCAUGGCGCUCACGCCCCGCCUCACGCACCUCGGCACGGGCUCGUUCCGGCCGGGGGACGGCGCCGAGGACGAGGGGCUCGACUUCGGCCAGAUGCUGACCGCCUUCGCGUCGGCCGGCCGGGCCAACUCGCUGGUCUCGCUCUCCGGCUUCCGUGAUCUCGCGCCGGAGUACCUGCCGACCAUUGCCACGGUCGCUGCCAACUUAACCAGCAUGGACCUGAGCUACGCCCCUGUCAACCCCGACCAAGUCCUGCUCUUCAUCGGGCAAUGCCGCAGCCUUGAGACGCUAUGGGUGCUCGACUCAGUGCGCGACGAGGGGCUCCAAGCCGUGGCGAUGUGCUGCAAGAAGCUCCAGGUUCUCCGCGUGCUCCCAUUGGACGCGCACGAGGACGCAGAUGAGCUGGUGUCGGAGGUCGGGCUCACCGCCAUCUCCGAGGGCUGCCGUGACCUUCGGUCCAUUCUCUACUUCUGCCAGAGGAUGACCAACGCCGCCGUCAUCUCCAUGUCGCACAACUGCCCCGAGAUGAAGGUGUUCCGGCUAUGCAUAAUGGGGAGGCACCGGCCUGACCACGUGACGGGGGAGCCGAUGGACGAAGGGUUCGGCGCCAUUGUCCGCAACUGCAGCAAGCUCACCAGGCUCUCCACGUCCGGGCACCUGACGGAUCGAGCGUUCGAGUACAUUGGCAAGUACGGCAGCUCCUUGCGGACGCUCUCCGUGGCGUUCGCCGGGGACAGUGAUCUGGCGCUGCAGCACAUCCUCCAGGGCUGCUCCAAGCUGGAGAAGCUCGAGAUAAGGGACUGCCCGUUCGGCGACGCCGGCCUCCUCUCCGGCAUGCACCAUUUCUACAACAUGCGGUUCGUCUGGAUGUCGGGCUGCAGCCUGACGCUGCAAGGCUGCCAGGAGGUGGCGCGGCAGCUCCCACGGAUGGUGGUGGAGCUGAUAAACAGCCAGCCUGAGAUCGAGAAGACAGACGGCGUCGACAUCCUAUACAUGUAUCGAUCACUGGAGGGGCCAAGGGAGGAUGUUCCACCAUUUGUGAAGAUCCUGUAA